GGCAGCCAGACCUAGCCCGCGCCCCCGCAGCCGCCUCCUCUCCUGCCGCCGCCGCCUCGGCCUCGUCCGCCUCCUCUCCUGCCGCCGCCGUCGCCUCGGCCUCGGCCGGCCCGUGCUCUGCCGACGCCCGUCGGCCUCGCUCCCAUCCACGGCGAGCGGGACGACCGUGAGAGAAUAUCAGUGGGGGCGCCGUAGAGCCUGAGAGUCGGCGGAAGCAGGGGCUGGGUGUUGGCGGCCGACGGGGGUCUGGCGGGCGUCAACGGCGCGUCGACCAGACCGGCAGCGACCCCGAUGGAGGGGAAGGGACCGGCAGACGCAUACAAGCGGGAGAGGCUUGGGGGCCUCGUGGAUUGGGAUGGCGGUCGCCCGAGUUUCUUCGCUUGAUCUGGAGAGGGCCAUGGCAGUGCACGCGAGGGGCGGAGGCGAGCGACCCUAUGGAGCCGCACACAUCGACAGGGAGAAGCUCGAGCUGCAGCGGGUCCAUGGCGCCAUCGCCGUCACAGCAGGAGGAGCGUGGGCCGUAGAGACGUCCGGAUCUGUCCAGCCCUCACGCCGCCGUCCGACCAUCCUAGAGGUUUGUUCCUGCGUCCUCGCCUCCAUCCUCUGAAUUUUUGUGCUCGUGUCCUCCCCUCCGUUUGGCUCUUGUUGAAGUGCCACCGAUUUCUUCUGCUACCUAAGAAGUACUAAUGCUCAUGUUUUUACAAUUUGGUUUCCAUAGCUUUUAGUCAUGGGAUCUUGAGGAAAGCAGUUAAUACAUUAUGAUUGUGUCGACUAUACUGAAUCUACAAAGCCUUUUUGUGUGCAGAGAAAUUCACACUCUGCAUUAGUUGCAAAAGAUGCUGAUUUUGAUCUUAAUAAUUAUAGUUGAUGUUCAAGCAGUAGCGAGUUUGGCAACCUCACGGUCAUCUAAUUCGGAAUUCACGUCCCACCCUCGAAGCUUAGCUUAAUAUUAUUCAUUUUCUGGUUUAAACUAUUUCUUGAAGCCUUCUUUCAGCUCGCACUUGUAUGCUAUUUAAACUUAUUUCUGGGUGUAAGAAGAGUUCAGAGCAAAGCAGGCCAACAUCUUUGCUGCACUGGACCGGCUCUACAUCCGUGGUGGCGGGCACGACCUCCGCUGCCGGGUGCAUGAUGAGGCACUCGAGGGGUAGGGCCGCUUGCGGCGCAGGUGCCCGUCGUGUGUCCCAGCGGGGCACCCGAGGCAACUGCAACUGGCCGGCGAGUUUGGCUGAUUUCAACAUGUCAAGAAGAAGACCAUGGCUACCGGAGGACUAUAUGAACAAGGCUCGGCAGGUCCUGCAUCAUCAACUAACAGCCAACUCCAAACGAUUACUCAGUUGCAGAAUAUCCCAACAAAAGGCAGAAUUCCUUGUAGGAUAAAUAAAACUGCAUCUGAUGCUGACAAGUCUAGGAAUUCCAGAGGCCGAGUAUCGUUGCAGGGUAUAUGCGAACAACAAAAUCUAUGCCACAACUCUUUUCAGUACAUCUAUGGUACCACUCAAAGGUGUCUUCAUUUCGGGAUAGUAAGUCCGAUGACAAGAGAUUCUACAUAUUUUCUCCCACAAAGGCACUUAAGUUGAAGACAUAUUCAAAAGAUGACCGUGUCUCAGUGGUCGAGGCCUUGGUCUUGGUCAGGAGUGUUUAUUCGCUCAGGUCGCUUAGUGGAAGAAUAACUUUGGUGCAGAGUGACAUUUCUAUUUUGACUGCAAGGAAUCAAAAUCGGAUGCACCAGGAGGCUUUAAACGAGACUCUUAUACAGGAUUGAGAAUAGAUUAUGCUUUCGGAGUUUUCAGUAGGAGUUUUCAUGCUACUGAAAGCAACUGAAGCUACGUUAUGAGGAUCAUCUAAGCUUGUUUGGAUCCAGUAGAUACCAUUUUUGAGCGAGUUUUUCUGAAGAUGUGUCAAUGUUCAGCCUGGAGAAUGUUCAUGUAAAGGCCAGUACACAAGCAUGUCUACUUUACCAUAUGGAUGGUGGAUCUACAGGACAAAUUUAUGCACCAGCUUUGAAUUCCAUGACGUUGCACGGACUAUGUGGAACCCACUGAUUCAUAGUGAUGUAUUUUCUUCGAGAAAGAGAGGACUGUGCAAUCAGAAGUACAAUAUGUGAUCAUCAAGUGUAAGAGAUGGCAAGAAUAUGUGGUAUGUAUUUCAGUCUGCGUACUAACGAAGUGUAUUGACUGUUCAUGCUGCUAUAAUAAGCUCGAUGAUUUACUAUGGAAACAGAAAAACACUUAAGAAGCAUCUUAAUUUUUAUGUACUGAGAUUUUAGAGGCUGUUAUUGACAUUGAUUUCCUUUAUGCUAGAGAUGCUGGUAAGAAAUCUACAUCAGAACAUACUUUGGUUUAAUUCUUGGUUAGCACUUAUCUGUUCUUUGCAUUCAAAGAACUCAUUUGUUUCUUAAAAAAAAGAUAAGAAAUAUUGCAAUCUUAAUUGGCACAGUUUGGCCCUUUCAUCACUUGGUAUAUAGUAUUUCUUAGAUACACCAACAAUGAAUUUUGGUUAGCACAAGAAAUUGAUACAGUACAAUAGAUUAACUAUUGCGGUAGAUUUAUUGAUUUUUGUCGGGCUGUGGUAUCUAUCUGUAGCAUCUGGAAGAUGCCAAAAAUACAAUAAGCCUUUUUUCACAAGGUUUUUUGGUGUUGCUCAAUGCUCAUUACCUCUGGUAUUAUUUUCUCUUUUAGUCCUUUACUACUAUUAUCUCGUGCUUCUAAAUAUUAUGAAAAACGUGCGAGUGAAUCAAAGACUGUAUAUAUGAGAAUGUAUGUGAGUUUGUUGCAUUUUAGAGAAUAGCCACACCUCCCUUGCGUUUGCAUAGAACAAGGAUGACAAACUUUGGUUUAACUUGGUCAGCACGUAACUCAUUUGUUUCAUAAAAGAAGAUAACAAAUAUUGCAAUCUUAAUUGGCGCAGUUUGGCCCUUUCAUCUCUUGGUAUGUAGUGUUUUUUAGAUAAACCAACAAUGAAUUUUCUUAGAUACACUAAAUGAUGAACAGGGCAUAUGUCAGGAUGCAUAGCAUAAUGUAUAUGUUAAUUAGAAAAUACUCUUUAGCAUCUGAAACAUCUAAAGGCCAUCACUCAACCAUGUAUUAUAUACAAUAUACCCAGCUCAGUGACUAGAGCAGUCCCAGCCACUAAUUAGUACUCAACAUUGAAUCACUCAUCUAAGUAUCAACACGACUUGCCUAUUGACAUAGUAGUGCUAGGUCCUCGGUGUUCGUUCUUACUCUCUGUUUUCCGAGUCUUUGGUCUCUAUUCACAUUUCGUUUUCUAUUUUCAUAUCACUAUGUAUUCAUUCGGUAUCUUGGUUUCUCUUUGUUUAGUCUCCCGUACCUCUUUUUUUUCAUUUGUAUGUCUAAGGUAAGAAUGAGAGAUUAGAUAAACAAACAGGAAAGUGCUUACUUUGUUCAGUGGAUGCAUUCCGUCACUGUCCAUCAACAAGUUCAACUCCGGCGAUGGUUCACCGAUGUGGGCCGAUGCACCACGUCAGGAACGUCAAUGGCCUGACAGGCCAUUUUCCAACUGGGCCUGUUAUAAAUGACGAGACCAUGAGGAUGCAGACAGUAAUGUUGCUCCUGGUAUAGUUAUUUAGUGAAGUUAUAAGCUUCUCCUUUUGGAGUUUACUUCUACGAGUGAUCAGUCCCUGCAUCUUGUUCUAUUUUUCAGAAAAUGAAUAUGUACUUUGCCGUGCCACUAAUCUGAGCAAAAUAGUAGAUCAUGAUGCCCCUCGUGCUACAGUGGAAUUGAAUCACAAAAAUUCUACAUAUUCAUAAAACACCGAAGGAGGUUAGUUUUUACCUGAGCGGCAACGGCGACUGCCGUGGGCUUGCUGGAGCCUCCCUAGCCAUGGAAAGUCACCAGCUUCAGGGAGUGCCAGGCUGCCAGAAGAGACGCAACCUUCGGCAGGGAGCGACAACAGCAACCGUGAGGAUUUGGCUCGCCGAUACGAGUGACAGCGGCGCCAUGUGCAGAUUCCGCAGCUCCGAGCUGUAGCGGGAGCUGCCAGGCUGCCCAGAUGCAGAUGGAGCAGCUGCGGUGCUGCGCCUUCGAGCUGGCGGGCCGCCGAGAUGCAGUUGGAGCCGCAGUGCCUUCGAGCUGCAGCGUGUUCCGCUCCCCCGUGAAGCUGCAGCGUGAUCCACCGUGAAGAUGGAGCCCAGCGUGAAUCGCCUUCACCAGGUGUUUUCUCCAAUACAGUGGGGAGAGGAAGAGGAUGAACUGAUCGAUGGAAUCAAGGCUAACAGUCCACCACGUGGUUAUCUCUGGCGUCAUAUGUGCAACCCGUGUGUAUAGGUGUCCAGACUCCAGAGUGUGUGGUUCUUUCUCACAAUGUCACGGUUGUAUUUUUAUCUUUGGUGCUAAUUUGUACUUUAUGUAACUGGUAUAAUCUGUAUUGUUUCGUCAAAUUUAUUCCCACUUAUCUUAAUAUAAGAGCAUCUGCAACCA